UCCGGUAUGGUGUAUCGGCUAGCAUCCGUCGCUUUCAUGAUUCAUGUCAGCUUCCGACGAGAGCCGGGUUCGAUUCCCGGUACCGGAA